AGCAGCCGCGGUAAUUCCAGCUCCAAUAGCGUAUAUUAAAGUUGUUGCAGUUAAAAAGCUCGUAGUUGAAUUUCGGGGUCAGUAGGUUGGUCGUGCCACUGGUAUGCACUGGCCUCACUGAUUCCUCCCUCUUGUAGAACCGUAAUGCCAUUAAGUUGGUGUUGCGGGGAAACAGGACUGUUACUUUGAAAAAAUUAGAGUGUUUAAAGCAGGCUAACGCUUGAAUACAUUAGCAUGGAAUAAUGAAAUAGGACGUUCGAUCCUAUUUUGUUGGUUUCUAGGAUUGACGUAAUGAUUAAUAGGGAUAGUUGGGGGCAUUAGUAUUCAAUUGUCAGAGGUGAAAUUCUUGGAUUUAUUGAAGACUAACUACUGCGAAAGCAUUUGCCAAGGAUGUUUUCAUUAAUCAAGAACGAAAGUUAGGGGAUCGAAGACGAUCAGAUACCGUCGUAGUCUUAACCAUAAACUAUGCCGACUAGGGAUCGGAUGAUGUUAAUUUUUAAUGACUCAUUCGGCGCCUUAC
rnacentral:rRNA from 1 species